AACGAACGCUGGCGACAUGCCUAACACAUGCAAGUCGAACGAGACCUUCGGGUCUAGUGGCGCACGGGUGCGUAACGCGUGGGAACCUGCCCUUAGGUUCGGAAUAACUCCCCGAAAGGGGUGCUAAUACCGGAUAAUGUCUUCGGGCCAAAGAUUUAUCGCCUUUGGAUGGGCCCGCGUUGGAUUAGCUAGUUGGUAGGGUAAAAGCCUACCAAGGCGACGAUCCAUAGCUGGUCUGAGAGGAUGAUCAGCCACACUGGGACUGAGACACGGCCCAGACUCCUACGGGAGGCAGCAGUGGGGAAUAUUGGACAAUGGGCGAAAGCCUGAUCCAGCAAUGCCGCGUGAGUGAUGAAGGCCUUAGGGUUGUAAAGCUCUUUUACCCGGGAUGAUAAUGACAGUACCGGGAGAAUAAGCUCCGGCUAACUCCGUG
rnacentral:rRNA from 1 species